GAUGAACGCUGACAGAAUGCUUAACACAUGCAAGUCUUUGGUGAAGCUGUGCUUGCACAGCCUAGCCAAGGCGGACGGGUGAGUAACGCGUAAGGAACUUGCCCUGCAGUCAGGGAUAACAGACGGAAACGACUGAUAAGACCUGGUAAAGUCAGGCGGACUCAUGUCCAGCCUGAUGAAAAGAGAUGCUGCAGGAGAGCCUUGCGUCCUAUUAGCUUGUUGGUGGGGUAACGGCCCACCAAGGCAAUGAUAGGUAGCCGGCCUGAGGGGGUGGACGGCCACAAGGGGACUGAGAUACGGCCCUUACUCCUACGGGAGGCAGCAGUGGGGAAUAUUGGACAAUGGGGGCGAACCUGAUCCAGCAAUUCUGUGUGCACGAUGAAGGUUUUCGGAUUGUAAAGUGCUUUCAGCAGGGAAGAAAAAAAUGACGGUACCUGCAGAAGAAGCGACGGCUAAAUACGUG
rnacentral:rRNA from 1 species